rnacentral:rRNA from 1 species
UACGAAGGGUGCAAGCGUUACUCGGAAUUACUGGGCGUAAAGCGUGCGUAGGUGGUUUGUUAAGUCUGUUGUGAAAGCCCCGGGCUCAACCUGGGAAUGGCAAUGGAUACUGGCAGGCUAGAGUGCGGUAGAGGGUAGUGGAAUUCCCGGUGUAGCGGUGAAAUGCGUAGAGAUCGGGAGGAACACCAGUGGCGAAGGCGGCUACCUGGACCAGCACUGACACUGAGGCACGAAAGCGUGGGAAGCAAACAGG